GGGGGUUUAGCUUAGUGAUAGAGCACGUGCUUAGCAUGUAGGAGGCCCUAGGUUUAAUCCCCUAGGGUCCCUA
rnacentral:tRNA from 1 species